GGGAAAUCCGUCCACUGCUCCGCCCGCGCAGCUCCGGCGAUGGCGACCUCCUCCGCUGCUCUCUCCCUCGUCUCAGGUGGGCUUGGAUUCGAUAGAUGCAAGAUUCGAUCGAAUGAGCUGAAGACGGUGGGGAAUUGUCAGUCUCAGCUGGCAGUUCGCCGGAGUCCGGCUCAAGUGAGUCGCCGUCGGAACUUGUCUGUCCGCGCGGAGUACGGUGAUGGUUCUAGGAGUGGGGGUGGUGAUUUCAUUGCCGGUUUUCUUUUAGGAGGAGCAGUCUUCGGGGCAUUGGCCUAUGCUUUUGCUCCACAAAUUAGGAGAUCAAUACUGAACGAAGAUGAGUACGGGUUCCGAAAGGCCAAGAGGCCAGUAUACUACGAUGAUGGCCUAGAGAGGACUCGCCAGACGCUGAAUGACAAGAUAAGCCAGCUGAACUCUGCAAUCGACAAUGUUUCCUCCAGGCUGAGAGGUGGGAAUAAUCCGGCAGCGGAUUCCCUCGAUACAGAGUCUGAAGUAGAAGCCACAAUCUAGAGCAUCUAUGAUUGUGACUAGCUCAUCUUAAAAACUCAUAGCUGAGUUUGUUGGUUUUAUCGUGUAUUUGAUGCAGAAGAUGGAUCUGUUUUGGUGUCUUUCAUUUCUAAGCAUAAGUUGGUGGGUGGAUUUGUUAUAUAAGUGUUGGGAGAUACAGAGUCUGAAGUAGAAGCCACAAUCUAGAGCAUCUAUGAUUGUGACUAGCUCAUCUUAAAAACUCAUAGCUGAGUUUGUUGGUUUUAUCGUGUAUUUGAUGCAGAAGAUGGAUCUGUUUUGGUGUCUUUCAUUUCUAAGCAUAAGUUGGUGGGUGGAUUUGUUAUAUAAGUGUUGGG
rnacentral:misc_RNA from 1 species